AUUCACCAAUGACGUUGUACAUCAUGUCGUUUGAUGACAUUUAUUCUAGUUUGAUUCAGUGCGUAUAAAAGAAAUUCAGUACCUAUAAACGUGCUUGUCUUUGUCAUCACAUAUUUUAAAACGUUAUUCUACUAUACAGAUUAUUUCAUCACGCUGCUCCAAUGCAUUGGUGGAUGACAUGUGGCAGAAUUUCAUCCGAGACGAGUGGUUCUUGCUCAGUAAUCAUACGUCGAGUUUUGUUAUCUCAAAAUGGAUGGAGUGAUGGAUAAUAAGGAUAAAAUGUAAGAAACGUAAAUUGGGUUCAGUUGCUUAGGACUUUUAUCUAGUAGUGGACGAACUAGUGGUGGAAAGUAUCUAGAAGUGGGCUUAUGGCGAUAUUGGAUUUCGUUGAUAUCAAAAUAUUCCGAAACCUGAUAAUAUAUUAUAUUUUUU